UACAGAGGUGGCAAGCGUUGUUCGGAAUUACUGGGCGUAAAGGGCGCGUAGGCGGCCUUCUAAGUCAGACGUGAAAUCCCCCGGCUUAACCUGGGAACUGCGUCUGAUACUGGGAGGCUUGAGUAUGGGAGAGGGAUGUAGAAUUCCAGGUGUAGCGGUGAAAUGCGUAGAUAUCUGGAGGAAUACCGGUGGCGAAGGCGGCAUCCUGGACCAUAACUGACGCUGAGGCGCGAAAGCUGGAGGGAGCAAACGGGG
rnacentral:rRNA from 1 species